rnacentral:lncRNA from 1 species
UAGAUAUGCAGCAUUAGAAAGAAAGGGGGGGGGGAUCCAAGUAAAUUUUUGCAAAAAAGGGAAACAAUAAAACCUCCAUUAAGUUGAGAGUUCACACACAACAAAACAACAAUCAGAUCUUCUGAGAUUUCAAUAGACUAUUAGUUUCAAGACGUCACACACACAUAAAAGAACAAAAAUUAAUUGGAACAAAAUGUAAG